rnacentral:piRNA from 1 species
UACCAAGAGGUCUGUGGGCACUCCCAACA